rnacentral:rRNA from 1 species
UCAGACGAUGCGUCAUGCAUAUCAAUAAGCGGAGGAAAAGAAACUAACAAGGAUUCCCCUAGUAACGGCGAGUGAAGCGGGAAGAGCUCAAAUUUGAAAUCUUCAAGGUUUUACCUUGACGAAUUGUAGUUUAAAGAAGUGUUUUCGGUUAGAGGAGUUUAGGUAAAAGUUCUUUGGAAUAGGACAUCAUAGAGGGUGAGAAUCCCGUAUUUGACCAUUAUUUUCUAGCUUUGUGAUACACUUUCAAAGAGUCGGAUUGUUUGGGAAUGCAGUCCAAAAUGGGUGGUAAAUUUCAUCUAAAGCUAAAUAUUGGCGAGAGACCGAUAGCGAACAAGUACCGUGAGGGAAAGAUGAAAAGAACUUUGAAAAGAGAGUUAAACAGUACGUGAAAUUGUCAAAAGGGAAGCGUUUGACACCAGUGUUGUUUUCUCGAAAAUCAAUUAAAAAGAGUUGGAUUUUGUGUUGUAUUGACCUUAACAGCUUGCUUCACUCUUUUCCUGCUUUUUUUAAUGCACUUUUCGUUUAACAAGUCAACAUCAGUUUCUUUUGUUGUAAAAGGGUCAUUGGAAGGUGGCUUUCUCUUCGGAGAAUGUGUUUAUAGCCUUUGAUCUCUGCAAUCGGAGAGACUGAGGUCUGCAGCGUAGAUCCUUCGGGGUUAGAUACAUUUGUGCUAAGCUACAGCUUUUCAUAGACAACUUGUUGACUAUGUUUAGUCUUGUAACUUACCCGCUUAUGCUAUUUUACCUACGCUUAGGAUGUUGAUAUGCAAUGACUGAUAU